rnacentral:rRNA from 1 species
CAGUCGCCGCGGUAAUACGUAGGUGGCAAGCGUUGUCCGGAAUUAUUGGGCGUAAAGGGCUCGCAGGCGGUUUCUUAAGUCUGAUGUGAAAGCCCCCGGCUCAACCGGGGAGGGUCAUUGGAAACUGGGAAACUUGAGUGCAGAAGAGGAGAGUGGAAUUCCACGUGUAGCGGUGAAAUGCGUGGAGAUGUGGAGGAACACCAGUGGCGAAGGCGACUCUCUGGUCUGUAACUGACGCUGAGGAGCGAAAGCGUGGGGAGCGAACAGGAUUAGAUACCCGUGUAGUCCCUGUCUCUUAUAC